rnacentral:tRNA from 1 species
UGGACUAUAGUGUAAUGGUAGCACAACAGUUUUUGGUGCUGUUGGUACGGGUUCGAAUCCUGUUAGUACAG